rnacentral:rRNA from 1 species
AGAGUUUGAUCAUGGCUCAGGCCCUUCGCUGGCGGCGUGCCUAACACAUGCAAGUCGAACGACCCUUCCCUUCCGAUGAAUGGACCAGCUUGCUGGGAAAGGAAUCAAUUGGGAUGACUGAGUGGCGGACGGGUGAGUACCGCGUGGGUAACCUGCCCCAUAGAGGGGGACAACAGCUGGAAACGGCUGCUAAUACCGCAUAGCAGGGAAGAGACGCAUGUCUUUUUCUUCAAAGAUUUAUCGCUAUGGGAUGGACCCGCGUCUGAUUAGCUAGUUGGCAGGGUAACGGCCCACCAAGGCGACGAUCAGUAGCCGGACUGAGAGGUUGGCCGGCCACAUUGGGACUGAGAUACGGCCCAGACUCCUACGGGAGGCAGCAGUGGGGAAUAUUGGGCAAUGGACGCAAGUCUGACCCAGCAACGCCGCGUGAAGGAAGAAGGCUUUCGGGUUGUAAACUUCUUUUAAGGGGGAAGAGCAGAAGACGGUACCCCUUGAAUAAGCCACGGCUAACUACGUGCCAGCAGCCGCGGUAAUACGUAGGUGGCAAGCGUUGUCCGGAUUUACUGGGUGUAAAGGGCGUGCAGCCGGAGAGACAAGUCAGAUGUGAAAUCCACGGGCUCACCCCGUGAACUGCAUUUUGAAACUGUUUCCCUUGAGUGUCGGAGAGGUAAUCGGAAUUCCUUGUGUAGCGGUGAAAUGCGUAAAUAUAAAGAACACACCCCUGGCGAAGGCGGAUUACUGGACCAAUAACUGAACGUGAAGCGCGAAACCGUGGGGGAGCAAAACAGGAUUAAAUACCCUGGUAUCCCACGCUGUAAAAGAUCAAUACUAAGGGGGGCGGCGAC